UGCGAUGGCGGCCGGGGAGGAAGAGGAUCUGGUACCCGGAACCCUCAUUCGCCGUUAUGAUCUCCGUGGACGGCGAACACAGUCAAUGUGCACUUGCAAGUCAAAGGAGGAAGAAUACAGCCAUAGCUCGCUUAGAGGUCCCGGGACGAAGCAUACUUAAAACAGAACGGACAUAUUUCCCUUUUGCAUCCCACAAAUAAAAAAGACUUGAAUAAGAAA